CCCUUCGAGCGAAGUGAUUUCGAAUGAAGUUUUCUUUUGGAUUUUGGGAUUAUCUUAGCGGCGGACGGGUGAGUAACGCGUGAGAAACCUGCCUUUCACAAAGGGAUAGCCUCGGGAAACUGGGAUUAAUACCUUAUGACACUUUAACCUCGCAUGGGGAAUAAGUUAAAGCGUAAAGCGGUGGAAGAUGGUCUCAUUUCCUAUUAGCUAGUUGGUGAGGUAACGGCUCACCAAGGCGACGAUAGGUAGCCGGCCUGAGAGGGUGAACGGCCACACUGGAACUGAGACACGGUCCAGACUCCUACGGGAGGCAGCAGUGGGGAAUAUUGCACAAUGGAGGAAACUCUGAUGCAGCGACNCCGCGUGAAUGAUGAAGGCCUUCGGGUCGUAAAAUUCUGUCCUUGGGGAAGAUAAUGACGGUACCCAAGGAGGAAGCCCCGGCUAACUACGUGCCAGCAGCCGCGGUAAUACGUAGGGGGCGAGCGUUGUCCGGAAUUAUUGGGCGUAAAGGGUUCGCAGGCGGUCUGAUAAGUCAAGAUGUGAAAGGCAAUGGCUUCAACCAUUGUAAGCAUUUGGAAACUGUCAGACUUGAGUUAAGGAGAAGGAAAGUGGGAAUUCCUAGUUGUCACCGGUUGAAAAUGCGGUAGAUAUU
rnacentral:rRNA from 1 species